rnacentral:rRNA from 1 species
GCAGAAGAGGACAGUGGAACUCCAUGUGUAGCGGUGAAAUGCGUAGAUAUAUGGAAGAACACCAGUGGCGAAGGCGGCUGUCUGGUCUGUAACUGACGCUGAGGCUCGAAAGUAUGGGUAGCAAACAGGAUUAGAUACCCUGGUAGUCCAUACCGUAAACGAUGAAUGCUAAGUGUUGGAGGGUUUCCGCCCUUCAGUGCUGCAGCUAACGCAUUAAGCAUUCCGCCUGGGGAGUACGGCCGCAAGGCUGAAACUCAAAGGAAUUGACGGGGGCCCGCACAAGCGGUGGAGCAUGUGGUUUAAUUCGAAGCUACGCGAAGAACCUUACCAGGUCUUGACAUGCUAUGCAAAUCUAAGAGAUUAGACGUUCCCUUCGGGGACAUGGAUACAGGUGGUGCAUGGUUGUCGUCAGCUCGUGUCGUGAGAUGUUGGGUUAAGUCCCGCAACGAGCGCAACCCUUAUUAUCAGUUGCCAGCAUUAAGUUGGGCACUCUGGUGAGACUGCCGGUGACAAACCGGAGGAAGGUGGGGAUGACGUCAAAUCAUCAUGCCCCUUAUGACCUGGGCUACACACGUGCUACAAUGGAUGGUACAACGAGUUGCGAACUCGCGAGAGUAAGCUAAUCUCUUAAAGCCAUUCUCAGUUCGGAUUGUAGGCUGCAACUCGCCUACAUGAAGUCGGAAUCGCUAGUAAUCGCGGAUCAGCAUGCCGCGGUGAAUACGUUCCCGGGCCUUGUACACACCGCCCGUCACACCAUGAGAGUUUGUAACACCCAAAGUCGGUGGGGUAACCUUUUAGGAACCAGCCGCCUAAGGUGGGACAGAUGAUUAGGGUGAAGUCGUAACAAGGUAGCCGUA